AAAAAGUAAACUCUAGUUUUCCGUGUCUAACUUUGACUAUCCGUCUUAUAUGAAAUUUUUUUAUAAUUCGUAUUUUUAUUGUUGUUAGAUGAUAAAACAUGAUUAAUAUUUUAUACGUAACUUGUCUUUUUAUUUUUUUUCAUAAUUUUUUCAAAUAAGACGGACGGUUAAAUAUUGGACACGGAAAUCAGGGUUUGUCUUUUU
rnacentral:pre_miRNA from 1 species